GCUGCUCCUAGAAGCACUGCAGGUGUAACUGCUGUGCCACCCUUUCAUUAAUAGUUGACAGAGAAGAGAGAGGUUAUGUCUAUGAUCAGUGUUCUGAUCUGUAAGCAUCUGAAUGAUAGUAGCCUGACAUU